AUCAGGGUCUUUUUACUUUUAAACCUAUAUCUUCAAACACAAGGAGAUGUGUAAAGAGGCUUCCCCGAGACACUGGGUUUAAGGUGCAAGUAUGGAGUGAUGAGAGUGUGUGUGUUUCUCAAACCCAUGGCUGGGUUAACCCCUGCUCCCAGUGCUGUCAUGCCGUCGUGCUCAUGCACUGAGUACCCUAGAAAGACACAUAGCUGAGGUGCGGCCGGGGCAUGCGGGCUGCUGUGUACGGGGCCCGUUCUGACCCGCACCACUCAGAAAGUGCACUCAGCCCCUGCUGCCAGCCACCCCCGUGUGUGUGGCAGCCAUAUGUCUCCCCGAGUGAAACCAGCGUUAGGGGAGGGCGCCCUGUUCUAACUCGCACAGAGGUGUACUGUGUGCCAGCCCCACGUGCUGGCAUUUGAGUCUAGGGCCCUUCUUCAUAGUUUCUCCACCUUGUACACACGAUUCUCUGGACAUCAAGUUCUUAAACUGGAAGAUGUAUGUCAUUCAUCUUGUUGACUGUUGACUUUAUGACUCACUAUCAAGAGAAGUCAAGCAGGUAUAUGCGGCCUUGGGAAGGAAAGGCAUAAGAUUUUUUGCUUAUUCCUUUUUAAACCUUUAAUUGGAGUUAAAAUAGUCUCUCUCUUUUUUAAAAAAAAAGUUUAUUUAUUUGAGAGAGAGAGAGAACACAAGCAGGGGCAGAGGCAGAGGGAGGAGACUCCUCACUGAGCAGGGAGCCUGAUGGACCCUGAGAUCAUGACCUGAGCCGAAGGCAGACGCUUCACGGACUGAGUCACCCAGGCACCCUGAAGUUAAACUAUUCUUUACUCAGGAAGUUCUGUCAUUUGAAAAAUGGGUAGUAAAGCUCUUCUCUUCCUUUUAUAAUCUCUAAAAGUUGGAGCUGUAGCUCCGAGGCGGGGAGAAGCUGAUUUCCCUUGGUAAGUCCCCACGGUAUAUUCCUGAGAUACUCUGUGUUAGCAUAGAGGGUGGGCUUGUCUUUACUGCCGUUAUGGCGGGAAGGAGAAGGUGGUCCUUAUACCGCUCUGCGGUAGCUGAGUGGAGAGCCUGUUGGGGUCACAUUUCUAUUCCACCUUGGCUGCCUUUUCUCCCGAUGCUUAUUUUUAAAAACUGAUACAAUUGAAAGAUAUGCAUAUCUUAAACAUUUUUUUUUAAACCCAGCAAUCAUGUGACAAAUGCCUAAUAUAAUAAUAUGUAGGAUAUAAUUAUAUAUAAUCUGUUGAAGAGGAAGCCUGUAUAAGCAAGGACUGGCCUCCAUCAUACUGAGGCUCCUUCUGCCAGGCUGGAAUGAUUUCUGGACAUCUGGGUUCUGAACCCAACCACCACUAGAGCCCUGUCCAAGUGGUGAUUCACUGGGAGAAACUAUGACAAAAUUAGGCAAUAGAUAACCAUCUUCCUGGUGACAUUUUAAGUAUGUCCAUUUGAGAAAGCAGAAGUAAAUAUGCAAUUAUUAAAAAUGAGGCCACUCUCAAUUUUAAAUGGUUUGCUUAAAUAUUAGUCAACAAAGCAGGAAAAGUAUCUGCUCCAACCAAUUUUAAAAUGACAAUCUUGCUGACCCUGGGGAACACGCUUGUAAAUUUUUUUAGUUUUCUUCCAGAUUUGUAUGUCAUUAAUAGUCACUGAUAGGAUUCAAGUAAUUCUUCUAGAGGUGGUUCUCAGAGCUUUCAAAAUUAUUUGAGUCAAGACCUAGAGACCCAGGGCACAGAGUGAAACCUUGUGUGUCGGACCAUUCAACAUUUUGUUAGAGCAAGGCUUUUUCCUUUGAUUUUUAAAGCAAUCCCGCAUGUUCUCCUGAUGGCUUCAUCUUCUGCUUGUGCUGGAGAAAGAUGCAUGGAGGGCUGCUUCAGUCCAUGUGUGAUUCUCACAUCUUGAGAAACCUAUUUCUUGGGCAGAAUUUUACCGUUUGCUGGGCUGAAUUUGGCGUUUAGUAGCUCCCUUUGUAGGAAACACAUUAAUUUCUUAUGGUUUAAACUUUUAACUCAGAAGGAGCUCGCUAGAGAUUAGGAAGGUCUUAUAAAAGAAUUCAGUGCAGUCUAGUAGGGCAGGUAGCCUUGAGCUAGGGAUCACAUGCAGAUAAAGCAUCAAAUAUGUGUUUCAAUACUGAGACAGUUGUAAUACUGUCUGUUUUCAUGACUUCCCACUUUCUUCGUGGUUCCUGGUGCAGAGCUGUGACUUGGCCUUACUAUUUGACAGAUACAUUUGAUCUGACACUAAGCGAUUUGGUUACUAGUGUCGAGUUGACUUAAAAGUGUGCAACAGUGACACGCUAUUACGCUUUCUACUCACCUCCCGGAUGUGGGCUUGGGUCUCAUUUCUUCUUUCCCAAUUACUGCUAUGUCAAAAUCAGUGUGUUUGUAGAGCAGCCUCCCCAGGACCCCUUGCACUGUCACUUCGAGCCCUCUGCCAGCCCUGCUGCUGACUGAGACGCACAUGCACACAGGAGCUCAGGUCUUAGCUGCCGAGCCCUGCUUCCGUCCAUGGAAUCCAGCUCGUCCUGCCAAUAAGCAGGACCUCAUGCUGCUUUUAAAGUAGGUCUAGGUGAAAAUGUAGAAUUCUUUAUUUCUUGCCUUUUCUCAUGUAAUUAAGGUUUUAACACUUAAAGAAGCAUAAUUAAUGAAAAUACACAUUUUAUGGUUUCUUUGAAGGGAUCCCAUGUUCUCCUGGGGUUACGUGGAUUUGGUCUUAAUUUGCAGAGGGGCAAGAUGGACACUUUCCUGUCAUUCUGUUUGUCCACAUUCAGAACGACCAGUCUAAGAUCAGCUGCAGUUUCCAUACCCCUAGAAACUUGUUACGUUCACAUCUUUUAGAUAAGAGAGGAUUGCAUCUGUCUUUUCCUUCAGAAGUCACAGCAUUAUACAGCCAUGGCAAGAAGUGUUCUCUUGAUUUGCUCUUGAAAAAAGAUGAAGAGAAGCCGCUGAAUUCAAGCAGCUUGACCGCCUCAGCCCACUUCGUAAAUACAAGUACUGAACUGAGAAAUGUUUAAAUGUAGAUCUUUGCAUUUUUGUGGUUUAGUUGUCAUAAAUUAAUCAGUCAUACAUUUUAAGUACCUAAGUGCAAAACUUGAAGCUCUUUGGAUGGCAUUGAUUUUUUUUAAGUGAAAUAUAUCUUAUUACGUUUAUGCUAAUCAUGUGCAGAACUGCACGUUGCUUCCAGAGAUCUGUUCCCUGUCUCGGAUGCAAAGAUAUGUAAAGUCACUUAUUUACAAAGUGAAGUAUUAAGUGUCUGUGAUUAUGAAUUAAGUAGAAACCAAUUGUACUAUGGUUCUAUGUGUAUUCGAACUGUAAUGUACUUAGAAAUUGUUCUUUAUUUGGUAAAGUAUUUCCAUUCUUUUCAGUAGAGCAUUUUGGGUCAUGCUAUCCUGUUAUAUUCCAUUCAGCUUUGAUUGACUGGAUUUGUGUGUGUGUGUGUGUGUGUGUGGUUCCUUUUUUCCCCCUCCUUCUUUCUAAAUUCUAGUUCACUAAGCAGUGUUAUUGUAGUUUUAUUUUUAAAAAAUUAUUUUUAAAAUGACUGGAGAUAUUUAAUCAUCAAAUUCUUAGCUCUCAAUGAUUAAUUUUGCAUUGUAUCUAUGUUAAAUACCACAUCAAACACAUAUUUGAUAAAGUGAGAUUUAUCUGCUCAUUGCAUGUAAGUAGGGAAUGACCAGAAAGGUGAGAAUCUCUUUUGAGUGUGGGGAGGGUGGAUUACAGUUGGGAGGCCUAGUUACAGACGCAGCUCUCCUAGCGAGCCCUCGGUCAGCAGCGCGUCUUGCUGUCUCGCUUACAGAAAUGCUGCAUCAGCUGUCAUCAGGAGUGUGGAGUCCUGAGAAGGAAACGCGCAUGGUAGUGUCACAAGCACCACGUCUUAUGUGACUUGCCCUCAAGUCGUUUGUGCGCUCUAGCAGAUGGUCUCAGUAGCCAGCCAGCACUCACUGAGCACAGUAACUCAUUUCAUCCUACACAAACCCUGUACACGAGGCACUGUUUAGUUCAUUUUACAGAUAGAAAAUGAUACACAGAGAAGCUAAGUAUUCUGCCCCAGAUCACAGAGCCCACGAAGGCCAGAACCGGGAUUUGAGCCAGUGUGGCUCCCGAGUCUUAAGCAAAUGCUGUACAUGGUGACGGACAUAGGUCAGCAGGCUGCUUGUAGAUGGUGGACUGUUUUCUCCUAGGUUCUGAAGACCGCCUGCGUGAACCUCACACCAUGGUCAAGUACUGAGUUUCCCUUGUUCACGCUCUUCACUCCCAACUUAAAAAAAAUGCAGCCUUGAACCACUUUCAGAUCAAGAGGACAUUACAUUCAUGGUCUUGGGCAAAUUUUAAUGGCACAGAAUUUGUCAGUCAAAUGUUUUGCUAACAUCACUAUAGGUUUGUGGCACAUGAAUUCUCUUUGAAUUUUCUCUUUGUCCACGUGUAGCUUCUGUGUUAGUGUCAAAGUUUCCUCUUAAACUAGUAAUGACUCUUGAGUUUGCAUGCUGCUGUUUUUCAUUGGUGAUUAGCACAUUCGUAGAUUAUCAAUUGAUAUCAUCUACAAAAUAACAUAAGUUGUAUAGCAAUUAAUAGUUUGUGUACAGAAUCCCUUUAGCUCUGUGUAUUGCCUGAUAAUGAGCAAAGUUAUAGUAGAGAGACCAAGAUUAUUUUGUUUUUAUUUUGAAAGGCCUACAGUAUGCAGCCUUUCUCCAGGACAGCAGCCCCAAACAAGACCCUGAAAAUUUGACAACUGUCAGAACAUGGACAUUCUGAUUAAUGUUAUUUUCAAUAAAGCAUCCAAUACCAUGGAUGAGAAGAUAAGAAUAGACUGGGAAACAGAAAAUCAUGACUGGUAUUGUUUUGAAUGCCAUUUGCCUGGAGAGGUGUUGAUAUGUGACCUGUGUUUUCGUGUGUAUCAUUCCAAGUGUUUGUCUGAUGAGUACAGGCUUAGAGACAGCAGUAGUCACUGGCAGUGCCCAGUAUGCAGG